rnacentral:rRNA from 1 species
GUGGGGAAUCUUCCGCAAUGGACGAAAGUCUGACGGAGCAACGCCGCGUGAGUGAUGAAGGUCUUAGGAUUGUAAAAUUCUUUCACCGGGGACGAUAAUGACGGUACCCGGAGAAGAAGCUCCGGCUAACUUCGUGCCAGCAGCCGCGGUAAUACGAAGGGGGCUAGCGUUGCUCGGAAUUACUGGGCGUAAAGGGCGCGUAGGCGGACAGCUUAGUCAGAGGUGAAAGCCCAGGGCUCAACCUUGGAAUUGCCUUUGAUACUGGCUGUCUUGAGUUUGGGAGAGGUGAGUGGAACUCCGAGUGUAGAGGUGAAAUUCGUAGAUAUUCGGAAGAACACCAGUGGCGAAGGCGACUCACUGGCCCAAUACUGACGCUGAGGCGCGAAAGCGUGGGGAGCAAACAGGAUUAGAAACCCCAGUAGUCC